rnacentral:rRNA from 1 species
GUGAGGAAUAUUGCGCAAUGGAGGCAACUCUGACGCCGCCAUGCCGCGUGCAGGAAGAAGGCGCUACGCGUUGUAAACUGCUUUUAACCGGGAAGAAACCCCAGGACGUGUCCUGGGUUGACGGUACCGGAGGAAUAAGCACCGGCUAACUUCGUGCCAGCAGCCGCGGUAAUACGAAGGGUGCAAGCGUUAUCCGGAUUCAUUGGGUUUAAAGGGUGCGUAGGCGGAGCGUUAAGUCAGUGGUGAAAUCCUGCAGCUUAACUGUAGACUUGCCAUUGAUACUGGCGCUCUUGAGUGCGCUUGAAGUGGGCGGAAUGUGCCGUGUAGCGGUGAAAUGCUUAGAUAUGGCACAGAACACCAAUUGCGAAGGCAGCUCACUAAGGCGAUACUGACGCUGAGGCACGAAAGCGUGGGGAUCGAACAGGAUUAGAAACCCUGGUAGUCC